GGUGGCUCAAUGGUAGAGUGUUUGCCUCACAUGCAUGAGGCCCUGGGUUAGAGCCUCAGCACCA
rnacentral:tRNA from 1 species